CCCAUACUUGUUUUCUGCUUUCUCGCAUAAAAAUAAAGUAGAGACACACAAGACAUAAUAAUAAUACUAAUACUCUUUAUUAAUCUCGAGGCAUUUAUUACAAAUGACUAGUAAUGAACUGAAGCUAAUAAUAGAUCUAAACCGAAUUUAAAGAUAAAUAACUAAGAUGCAUUGCCUCAAGAUCUAAUCUAGAUAGCUUAGCGGUGCUCUAACUCCCUAAUCUUCUUAUUGGCACUAGCA
rnacentral:lncRNA from 1 species